CCUGCCCAAUAUUACUCCAACGCCAGUCUGAUCUUUGGGUCCUUUUUUAUAUUCAGUUUUGUCUUCACUCUCUCUCUCAUUCACGAGCCUCCCCCCUCAUUUCAAAAAGAAGAGGAAGAAAAAAAGAAAAAGAGAAAAGGAAGAUUUUGAGUCUUGCAGACCAUGACAGCCCAUUUAGUUGCAGUGGUGGUGGUCUCGAUGGAAGGGAAGAAGCAUUAAAAUCACUUGGAACAUGAAUUGACAACUGAAAUUGAACCAUGCUACAGAAGGAGAGAGAGAGCGAGGGAGAGAGAGAGAGAGUGGGAAGGACAGGGAGAUUGCAUAUGAGUAUGGACCAUGGAUUAAUGUAUGUAAAUGCAGUUUGACAUACAAUUUCUAAAGUUUUUGUUGUAUAUUUAGGUAUUAUUUAUUAGGAACUUUAUUGGAGGGUAUCGUAUCAUAUCUCUCAAAGUCUUCCAAAGUGUUUGAAAACAUCGAUAUUUUAAACAUUUGUUCAACACUUGAACCCAAUAAUUGCAGUCCACAGAGUCCACAGUCCACACUUCUGCCGAGCAUGAACAGUCAUUUGCAAUAUAGUACGGCACUACUUGCUCUCUAUCUACUCAUCUCCUACCACUACUACUACAACUCUACUAUGACUACUAUACCUCCCUCUCUCUCUCUCUCUCUCUCUCUCUCUCUCUCUUUCAAUGCCUGUCUUUUCUCUCUAUGUCCCGUGAGAUUUGAGAGCAACCCCCCACACUCCUCUGCCAUGCCGCCCUAUAUUUCCACCACCUGUGACCCUAAGCCCCCGUGUAAAUAACUCUAUGAGCCUAGAUGAUACAUCUACACCCCUAUAGCCUUCUGAGCUGUGUUCACACCACUCACUGUCUCUUUCUCUCUUAGCUGCCCACAUGCUGCUUCCUCUUUAUUUCACUGUUUUCCAAUGUGGGUUGUGUCUCUUUACGCUUCUCUUUAUCAGCUUCUUUCACAUCUGUCCCUAAAUCUCCUAUAAAUAUCACAAUCUCCAAUGGGUUCUCUAAAUCCACCACCAUCAUCAUUAUCAACCUCUCUCAUGUUCUUAGGGUUUCUUUCCUCAUAAAUGGAUGGUUUUUUUUCUUCCUGAGUUUUCCUUUUCCAUUAGGGUUUUCAUAUUAUCUUCUCUUUUUCUCUCCUUCUGUAUAUUGAUCUAUAUGCAGUUUCACCAAACUGGGCUCUCUAACCUAUGAUUUGCCUUGUUUUGAGGGUAUUGGUACUUUAGAGGGCAAUUCUAAGACGAAAGGGUAGUUCUUUAGUUUAUCACAAUGAUUCUGUUCAUUUUCUCUUGCAAAAGUUAUGCCUCUGAUGGCUUUCUCCUACACGCUGUCUCGCCAUGUGAGCACAUCUGAGUUUUUCUUGUAUUUUCUUGCUCCAUCUGAGUGCAUGAAGACCCUUUUCUUCUGUAACUGAAGGUGCUUUUAGGUUCAUCACUCUCAUGAUGAAUAACCAUCUAGGGUUUCUCCCUUAUCAUAACAUCAUAUGCCCAAGAAGUUGACCUAAUAAUCUUUGUCAAGUUGCAACAGAGUCUCCAAGGGAAUAAGUGAAGCUGCCAGCAUGAUCUAGCUUUGGCUAGGGAUACAGAGAAAGAGAGAGAUCAGAGCUAACCCUAGCUAGGUCAUGCCCUGACAGCCUCACUCCUUCCUUCUUGAGGCCCCAGAAAAUUCCAAACAUCAUUCAAUUCUCAAAGCAAAACAGGAUAAACAAGAACAAGAAAGCAAUAGAACAAUCACUGAAGCUGCAGUGCAAUGAAAAACCCCAGAUGGAUUCCUCAGUUUCUUGGUGUUUUCAACCUCUAGGUUUUCAUCUCUUGCCACCACUGUGCUGUUCAGCAAUCAUCAGCUGCUGGGUAGUACUCUAAACGAACAUUGUAACAUAACCCUGAUGGGUCACUGGAUUUCCCUUUAUACUCGAAGCAGAAAAACAUCAUUUCUUGUCCUGCAUUUGAUGAUAUGGCAUGUUUCAACUUUCUCAGAAUAUGUAUAUAUACCAUGAAAUCUAGCAAAACAAGCCAUUUGUGGCAAGUAAAUAGUGUGGUUGAGAGCA